GCCUAGGAAUCUGCCUGGUAGUGGGGGACGAACGUUUCGAAAGGAACGCUAAUACCGCAUACGUCCUACGGGAGAAAGCAGGGACCUUCGGGCCUUGCGCUAUCAGAUGAGCCUAGGUCGGAUUAGCUAGUUGGUGAGGGUAAUGGCUCACCAAGGCGACGAUCCGUAACUGGACUGAGAGGAUGAUCAGUCACACUGGAACUGAGACACGGUCCAGACUCCUACGGGAGGCAGCAGGA
rnacentral:rRNA from 1 species